UUCAAAGGUGGAAUAAUCAACAGUGACAUUG
rnacentral:piRNA from 1 species